rnacentral:tRNA from 1 species
GGGUACGUAGCUCAGUUGGCAGAGCAGCGGAUUGUGGUUCCGCUUGUCACGGGUUCGAAUCCCGUCGUACCCCCCA